rnacentral:rRNA from 1 species
UACGGGGGGUGCAAGCGUUAUCCGGAUUCACUGGGUUUAAAGGGUGCGUAGGAGGGUAGGUAAGUCAGUGGUGAAAUCUUCGAGCUUAACUCGGAAACUGCCGUUGAUACUAUCUAUCUUGAAUACCGUGGAGGUGAGCGGAAUAUGUCAUGUAGCGGUGAAAUGCUUAGAUAUGACAUAGAACACCAAUUGCGAAGGCAGCUCGCUACACGAAUAUUGACUCUGAGGCACGAAAGCGUGGGGAUCAAACAGG